CCUACGGGUGGCAGCAGUGAGGAAUAUUGGUCAAUGGACGGGAGUCUGAACCAGCCAAGUAGCGUGAAGGAUGACUGCCCUAUGGGUUGUAAACUGCUUUUAUAUGGGAAUAAAAUGUUCCACGUGUGGGGUUUUGUAUGUACCGUAUGAAUAAGGAUCGGCUAACUCCGUGCCAGCAGCCGCGGUAAUACGGAGGAGCCGAGCGUUAUCCGGAUUUAUUGGGUUUAAAGGGAGCGUAGGUGGGUGGUUAAGUCAGUUGUGAAAGUGUGCGGCUCAACCGUACAAUUGCAGUUGAAACUGGAAGUCUUGAGUACAGUAGAGGUGGGCGGAAUUCGUGGUGUAGCGGUGAAAUGCUUAGAUAUCACGAAGAACCCCGAUUGCGAAGGCAGCUUACUGGAGUGCAACUGACGCUGAGGCUCGAAAGUGUGGGUAUCAAACAGGAUUAGAUACCCUAGUAGUC
rnacentral:rRNA from 1 species